AAAAGAAAGAGAGUGUAGAGAGGUAACUAAGUGAGAGAAGUUCAUAUUUCCGACGAAAUUCUUGGUGGCUUUUGGCGGAUCCUUUUGUCAGUAUAUCCAUUGUCAUUUUCGUGGAGGACGGCGUGUGAUUCGGUGUGGCACAAAAUCUGAGCUCAACAUCAUAGGACACUCCAUUGAUGGUGUUGAAGAAGCCUUGGGUUGCUUCAAUUUUUACACUAAGAUUUUAUGUUUCCACUUUGUAUUUGUAAUAAUCAUUUAUACACUACAUUUUAAACUCUACAAUUUUAAUUAUUUUGAAAUUUUUUGAAAUUUAGUAAGUCACUUCUUUAACAAGGAACUAUUUAUUUAUUAUUAUUUUUUUUUUCUGUAUUUUUUACUCUAGAUUGAAAAAUGGAAUUUAUAAAUGUAUGAGCUUACCUAGUUACCUGUUUUUUCAUAAAUAUAGAAAAUUUACACAAAAUGGGAUAGAUAUUAUCUCUACCAAUCUUUUAUUACUGAUGAUCUUCGCACGAUUCCUUCACAAGUAAAAGUUGAAUACUCAAGAGUCUCCUUCAGGUUCAGCAUCCUGCUGGCCCCAUUAUUAUUAUUAUUAUUAUUAUUUUUUAAAUCUUCCAACGAAAACUUGCCAAG
rnacentral:lncRNA from 1 species